GACGUAGGAUGCAAGCGUUGUCCGGAUUUAUUGGGCGUAAAGAGUUCGUAGGUGGUUUGUUAAGUCUGAUGUUAAAGUCUGGGGCUCAACCUCGGAAAUGCAUUGGAUACUGGCAGACUUGAGUGUGGUAGAGGCAAUCGGAAUUCCAGGUGUAGCGGUGAAAUGCGUAGAUAUCUGGAAGAACACCGGUGGCGCAAGCGGAUUGCUGGGCCAUAACUGACACUGAGGAACGAAAGCUAGGGGAGCGAAUGGG
rnacentral:rRNA from 1 species